rnacentral:rRNA from 1 species
UACGUAGGGGGCAAGCGUUGUCCGGAUUUAUUGGGCGUAAAGCGCGCGUAGGCGGCGCGGUAUGUCGUGCGUGAAAUCUCCCGGCUUAACUGGGAGGGGCCGUGCGAAACUGCCGGGCUUGAGGUCGGAAGGGGAAAGUGGAAUUCCGGGUGUAGUGGUGGAAUACGUAGAUAUCCGGAGGAACACCAGCGGCGAAGGCGGCUUUCUGAUCCGAUACUGACGCUGAGGUGCGAAAGCGUGGGGAGCGAUCCGG